AUUGGUGCAGCUUGUCUUCAUCGUCAACAUAGAACAAAAGAUAAACCAGAAGACACUGAAAAUACAGUGUAUGCAGUUCCUGAGGUCGGACCCACAGCCCAAACACUGAUUGAGAGUCCAGCCAAUGAUGCUUCAGGUCUUUCUCCGACCUCCACCUACUGCUUGGUAGGGUUUCCUAAACGAUCAGAGGGAUCCACUGAGACCAAAGGCCCAACUCUGCCAGAAAGUUUGUAUGCUCAAGUAGAAAAACCUGCCAGGCCCUGAAAAUUUGUAUUUCACAUAGUGUAGCAAUUUCCUACUUGUAUUUAAGUGUUGCCCAAGCCUCAUGCACCCAUCCCCGACAUCACACCUUGUACAGCAUGUAUCACACCUGCACAAGGUGUAAAAGCUGCUAAAACCUGCUCUGGCAAAUAAAGACUUUUCCCAUAAACAGACAGCUGUAAAACAAUGAGGAAAUGUUACUAAGCAUCACCCAAAUUCACAAGUUACUCUUAGUAUUAUCACAGUUGAAACCAUUACAUCAAAUAUGAAUUUAAAACUAAUAAAAAAGCUGUUUUAUUUUGUACGGUUUCUGUGUGCAGGCAGUCUGCCAUCUCAGUCAGGGGAAGACACAAUUCUCUCAAUAUAACCAAGAUCAAUGAGGCAAAGUCACAGAAAACAAAAAAUAUAAUUACCUCUGUCAUCUACUCUGGUCACCCAUGUUACCAACAACUAUUUGAUAUGUUAUAUUUUACAAUAGGCUUAAUAAUUUUGUUCGUACCAAAUUACUAUUGGUACCAAAUUUGGGCUGCUAUAUAUGGUGUGGCA